ACUCCAUGGUGUGGACAUUUUCGUUGCAAAUCCUUGAAUCUUUCCCAGGCAUCAUGAAGCGUUUCGUUGUCACGUUGCUUGAAGCUAGUGGUGUUAGUUCUCAGCUU
rnacentral:snoRNA from 1 species